rnacentral:tRNA from 1 species
GCCUGGCUGGCUCAGCUGGUAGAGUGUGCGACUCUUGAUCUCGGGGUUGUGAGUACGAGCCUCGUGUUGGGUG